CAGCGACUGCAUCUACUAUAUCAAAACUACUUCACCAACAUCCACACCUGCUUCAACGACUGCAUCUACUAUAUCAAAAACUACUUCACCAACAUCCACACCUGCUUCAAGUGACAUAACCAUUGGUGGAAUUGUGGGAGG